CGCCGCCUUACCCGGCCAGCUCCAGCAGCAGGCUGCCCACGCUGACCCCCCGCGCCGACCUGGCCGCCAGCACCGCCGCCAGCUGCGGCAGCUUGAUCACGGCGCACACCGCCCAGCCUCCACAGACUCUCUCCAGAUCUUAUCCUGUUGAACCUGGUCCUGCUGCAGUGCUGCCUGCUCAUCAGCCCAGGCCCGAGUAGCCGGUUGUGCAAUGACAGGUCUUCUGGGUUGGGUGCUGCCGAGAGACACAGAUGGAGCUGAGGCUGGUUGCCCCAGAGGUGUGGUUGCUGGUUGCCAAGACCUAACCAAGCCAAAAAGCAAAAAAAGUCAUGUAUCCAUGCAGCAUUAUCAUGAACUGAAGAAAGGAACUGUUUGCCAACCUGGCCUGAUAGUUGUCUCUGUUCCUAUUGUGGAAUCUGCUUAUCCUGCUGCAUUUGAUCCAGGGUCCUCUCCAAGUUAGAGUGUGUGCAGCUGGUUGGAGAAUGGGGUUUUAGCAGCAUCUAGCUGCUCUAAAAGGAAGCCGAGGCAUGUUUGGAAGACCCAGUGCAUUAAUCAGUGCACAUGGGAUUUUAGCUCCUGAUCAGUCAGGAAAGGAUCCUGAUGGGAAAAGUUUUUUGAAGCUCAAGAAGUUCUCAUAGGUUUCACUGGAAGCCAGGGACUUCAGAGGCUCAUUCCAAAACACUGAAAAACUUAAUGGAAAUUGCUUCGUUAAAUGCAAGAAUACAUCAGUUACAGAAGGGAAGUAAUAACAGGAGAUGAAUGU